rnacentral:rRNA from 1 species
GACGAACGCUGGCGGCGUGCCUAACACAUGCAAGUCGAGCGAGUGAAUCUCCUUCGGGAGUGAAGCUAGCGGCGGACGGGUGAGUAACACGUGGGCAACCUGCCUCAUAGAGGGGAAUAGCCUUUCGAAAGGAAGAUUAAUACCGCAUAAGAUUGUAGCUUCGCAUGAAGUAGCAAUUAAAGGAGCAAUCCGCUAUGAGAUGGGCCCGCGGCGCAUUAGCUAGUUGGUGAGGUAACGGCUCACCAAGGCGACGAUGCGUAGCCGACCUGAGAGGGGGAUCGGCCACAUUGGGACUGAGACACGGCCCAGACCCCUACGGGAGGCAGCAGUGGGGAAUAUUGCACAAUGGGGGAAACCCUGAUGCAGCAACGCCGCGUGAGUGAUGACGGCCUUCGGGUUGUAAAGCUCUGUCUUCAGGGACGAUAAUGACGGUACCUGAGGAGGAAGCCACGGCUAACUACGUGCCAGCCGCCGCCGUAAAAC